GAUGAACGCUGGCGGCGUGCCUAAUACAUGCAAGUCGAGCGAACAGACGAGGAGCUUGCUCCUCUGACGUUAGCGGCGGACGGGUGAGUAACACGUGGAUAACCUACCUAUAAGACUGGGAUAACUUCGGGAAACCGGAGCUAAUACCGGAUAAUAUAUUGAACCGCAUGGUUCAAUAGUGAAAGACGGUUUUGCUGUCACUUAUAGAUGGAUCCGCGCCGCAUUAGCUAGUUGGUAAGGUAACGGCUUACCAAGGCAACGAUGCGUAGCCGACCUGAGAGGGUGAUCGGCCACACUGGAACUGAGACACGGUCCAGACUCCUAAGGGAGGCAGCAGUAGGGAAUCUUCCGCAAUGGGCGAAAGCCUGACGGAGCAACGCCGCGUGAGUGAUGAAGGUUUUCGGAUCGUAAAACUCUGUUAUUAGGGAAGAACAAAUGUGUAAGUAACUAUGCACGUCUUGACGGUACCUAAUCAGAAAGCCACGGCUAACUACGUG
rnacentral:rRNA from 1 species